UACGAAGGGGGCUAGCGUUGCUCGGAAUCACUGGGCGUAAAGCGCACGUAGGCGGAUUGUUAAGUCAGGGGUGAAAUCCUGGAGCUCAACUCCAGAACUGCCUUUGAUACUGGCAAUCUCGAGUCCGGGAGAGGUGAGUGGAACUCCGAGUGUAGAGGUGAAAUUCGUAGAUAUUCGGAAGAACACCAGUGGCGAAGGGCGGCUCACUGGCCCGGUACUGACGCUGAGGUGCGAAAGCGUGGGGAGCAAACAGGAGU
rnacentral:rRNA from 1 species